AGAGCAGGCCCUCAGUGUUGUACUAUUUGUCUUGGUCCCUGUGUCUAAGGAGCCAUGCAGAAAAAAAGGUGAAAUAAAUGGAAGAGAUAGCCAUGGACUCUAGAUCUUUUAAAAAUCUGCACUUCCAGCUGGGAUUGGGAAGGGAGCUGAGGCUAAAGAGGUGCUCGGCAGAGGAAACUAGACACAUUCAUUUCAUAAAUCACUCUGGCUAGAAACAGUGAACUCCGCAGGAACCUCACAAAACUCCUUUUGUGUUUGUGAGCUUGUUGAUCUUCCAGCUCACUAUGCAGGUUAUGGGGACAAGAGGCCAGAGGCCAAGGAACCAGGCGGCCCCAGCAGGACGUUCCUUAGCUGUGCAUCCUAUGCACAGCCAUGAUAAGUAAAGGCGGAUGGGGAUGGCAGGGGUGGGGGCGAAGCCAAGGUCUGAGACCUGCACCCUGCAGCUGGGUCAGCAGGAUGGUAUCUCCACCCGUGGCCAUCCAGGAAACACAGCUCCAUUUCCUUGCUGACACCCUCCCCUCCCCGUUGUCCAUCCUGCUCCCUCCCCACAAGCAAGAGGAGUUGUCCCAGAGUCAGCUCCUCAUAGCUGACCUCUUCCAAUCCUGCCCGUGGUGAGGGGACUGGAUGGAAUCACUGAUAGCCUCUUCACCAUCUCCUCUGUCCUGCUUAAGUGCUCCAUGUGUCUGGAAUGUUUAACUUGGAGUAACUACUCACUGACUUGGAGACCACCUGUUCUACUUUGAGAAAUCAGAACUGUUCUGUGGAUGCACUGACAGCGUGCUCCAACUGCAUAUGCACCCAGGUU
rnacentral:lncRNA from 1 species